rnacentral:lncRNA from 1 species
CAUUUUUCCAGUAAACUGUCUCAUUUUCACUGGAUUGUGUUUUUAUAAGAACAGGAACAGAGAAACAAAGAGAUGUGAAAUAGGCUCCUUUGUAGGACUGAAUGGAAAUGAACCACAAGAAAUGGAGUUUGUGAACCAUCUGCCCUUCUAUGUAGCUGAAAUUCUCUCAGGAAAUAACAUCAUAGAUAAAUGAGAGAAGGAGCUAAGAGGGAAAUGAGAAUUUAUCAAGAUUUCGAUUUUGAAGUCUUAUCUAUCACAAGCUAAGGAGAAGGAACUAUUAAAAGGAACUACUAAAAACAAACAAACAAAAAACAAUUAAGGGACUUCCUUGAGGAGGAGAACAUAUACCAUGAAGAACAGUUAUGAAAGCUAAGGUAGAAGAGCAUUUCAGAUUUUCAAAGACAUUGAUAAUAAUACAUCAUCUUUACUUUUACAGAAGAAUUUUAUUCCAUAAUCUAGCACUUAAGGAAACCUAGGUGUGGCUAAUAUUUCUGUUUAUAAAGAGACCAGUUACAGUUUAUGAAAACCUGGAUGCAUCUCAAUUCACAAGAAUAAACCAAUAUCUGCCAGACAAAGCUAACUCUCUUUUGUCCAGGAAAGUCUGUGUUUCUGAAGAACUGAAAUGAAUCUAAAAAAUACUUAUUGAAAGUAUAUAAUAUAUACAUAUGUUUCAACAAAAAGCUCUAUACCCAAAACUCCAGACUGAUGAACUUAACACCCUAGCUAAUGGUAGGAUAAGCAGUGCUGAAGAUAGACUAGCCUUGUAUUUCUGCCAAUACUUUGACAAAUUCUGGAAGCUGUCUCCAAGUAGAAUUAAAUGGACCAGCAGUUCUACUUUUCGUGCUGUUAUUUUUCCUAUUUGUUAUCAAAACAGGUAUUAUUAAGC